UACGAAGGGGGCUAGCGUUGCUCGGAAUCACUGGGCGUAAAGGGUGCGUAGGCGGGUCUUUAAGUCAGGGGUGAAAUCCUGGAGCUCAACUCCAGAACUGCCUUUGAUACUGAGGAUCUUGAGUUCGGGAGAGGUGAGUGGAACUGCGAGUGUAGAGGUGAAAUUCGUAGAUAUUCGCAAGAACACCAGUGGCGAAGGCGGCUGACUGGUCCGGUUCUGACGCUGAGGCGCGAAAGCGUGGGGAGUAAACAGG
rnacentral:rRNA from 1 species